AGAUGGGAGCUUGCUCCCUGAUGUUAGCGGCGGACGGGUGAGUAACACGUGGGUAACCUGCCUGUAAGACUGGGAUAACUCCGGGAAACCGGGGCUAAUACCGGAUGGUUGUUUGAACCGCAUGGUUCAGACAUAAAAGGUGGCUUCGGCUACCACUUACAGAUGGACCCGCGGCGCAUUAGCUAGUUGGUGAGGUAACGGCUCACCAAGGCGACGAUGCGUAGCCGACCUGAGAGGGUGAUCGGCCACACUGGGACUGAGACACGGCCCAGACUCCUACGGGAGGCAGCAGUAGGGAAUCUUCCGCAAUGGACGAAAGUCUGACGGAGCAACGCCGCGUGAGUGAUGAAGGUUUUCGGAUCGUAAAGCUCUGUUGUUAGGGAAGAACAAGUGCCGUUCAAAUAGGGCGGCACCUUGACGGUACCUAACCAGAAAGCCACGGCUAACUACGUGCCAGCAGCCGCGGUAAUACGUAGGUGGCAAGCGUUGUCCGGAAUUAUUGGGCGUAAAGGGCUCGCAGGCGGUUUCUUAAGUCUGAUGUGAAAGCCCCCGGCUCAACCGGGGAGGGUCAUUGGAAACUGGGGAACUUGAGUGCAGAAGAGGAGAGU
rnacentral:rRNA from 1 species